CAGCAGCCGCGGGAAUACGGAGGGGGCUAGCGUUGUUCGGAAUUACUGGGCGUAAAGCGCACGUAGGCGGCUUGGUAAGUUAGAGGUGAAAGCCUGGAGCUCAACUCCAGAAUUGCCUUUAAGACUGCCGAGCUAGCAGGUGAGAGAGGUAAGUGGAAUUCCGAGUGUAGAGGUGAAAUUCGUAGAUAUUCGGAAGAACACCAGUGGCGAAGGCGGCUUACUGGCUCAUACUGGACGCUGAGGUGCGAAAGCGUGGGGAGCAAACAGGAUUAGAUACCUUAGUAGUCCCUGUCUCUUAUAU
rnacentral:rRNA from 1 species